ACACAGGUAUUAUAGAUUUAGAAAAGUGUAUUAUUGAAGCAGUAGAGAGACCAGAGACUUGAGACUAGUAAACGGCAAAAGGAAGGGAAAGAGGAGGUGGAAAAAGAAAUCGGAGAUUCAAAAUCCGGAAAAGAUGGAGCCUGAAAGACUUGGAUCGGCUGCUGAUGAAUGAUUCUUAUGCUUUUUGCGGAGUUUUGAGUGUUUCUGGGGUUUUUGUUUGUCACUGAAGUCAAGGGGAAGGAAAGAAAUUUGGAUGGUACGAUUUGGUGAACGGUUUUUUGGGGCUUCGGUCAUCCAUCUUAUCUGCAACUCCAUUGGUGGAGAAAAAGAGGAAUAGAGGUUUUCCUUGUUUACUCUAUUUGUUUUUUAAUAUUUUUUGAUAGGUACGCAAACAUUCGUGUUAGUUUCGAUCUGGGUAUGCUUCUAGGAAUAUAAAGAUCCAAUUUUUAAUUCGUUUCCGUGUUUUUUCGAGGAACCCAGAUGAGAAAUUUCACUUCGAUAUUUUGUGGUUGCUGCUGAGGUUAUUUUUCGAAAAAUCGAAAAUGGGUAUUUGGGACUUGGGUUCUGCUUUAAGCUGGAGUGGGAAUGGAAGGCGUGAAGAUAUUCCUAGUUUUGUCUAAUUUCAUCUUUGGCUUGGGUUUUUUGGUUUUGAGGUGAUGAGGAUGGAGGAGAAUGCAGCGGCCUUCCAUACUGUUUUGAGUUCCAUACAGGCUUUAGGUAGGGGUUUUGAUGUGAAUUUCGACACCAGAUUGCUUUACUGCAAAGGGGUUGCAGGUUCAACUGUAGUUGAGGUGGAUGAAGAACACCAAAGGGAUCUGUUAGUGUAUGAUGAUCUGGUUCUGCCUAAUGUUUCUAGAGACAUUAGGUGCUCUCAGGAAGCCAUUGACCGUCGGAGUUCGGGAGUUUGCAGCUUCGACGAGAUGGUGGAAUAUUUUAAUAAAAGGGCUCUUCUUUCUGGAAAUAUACCCAUUGGGAGCUUUAAUUCUGUAUUCAGCUUUACUGGUUCAAAGCAGAUUGAUGCUGCUUCUACAAAAAGCCUCGCUAUGGAUGGAUUAUUCAUCCCUCUUUGCAAGGUCCAGCUCAUAAAGUCCCCAUUAGUGUUGCAGGGAAACGUCAAGCGGGCAGUGCCAUCUUCAUGGGACCCAUCAGCAUUGGCAAGAUUCAUCGAAAACUAUGGGACACAUAUUAUUACAUCUAUAACUAUUGGUGGCAAGGAUGUAAUUUACGUCAAGCAGCAUCAGUCCUCACCUUUGUCAACCAUGGAGAUAAAAAAAUAUGUUAAGGAUAUUGGAGAUCAAAGGUUCUCUGAUUCUGAAAGCCAUACGAGUUCAGGUCCAAUGAAAAUCAAGGAUAAGGCUGCGGACACAUCUUUAUUCAAUGGCCAAGGGAUAUACCCUCAACCCCCUAGUGCUCCUUACCUUUCUGGAAAAGAAGAUGUUUCUGUCAUUUUUAGGCGGAGGGGAGGAGAUGAUUUAGUCCAAAACCACACCCAGUGGGCAAAAACUGUCUGUUCUUCUCCUGAUGUAAUCGAGAUGACCUUCCUUCCAAUCACAGCGCCCCUUGAAGGGGUAUCUGGAAAAGACUAUCUAGCUCGCGCUAUUGGCCUCUAUCUUGAAUACAAGCCUCCAAUUGAAGAGCUGCGAUAUUUCCUCGAGUUUCAGAUCCCUCGGAUUUGGGCCCCAGUGCAGGACAAUCUUCCUGGUCACCAAAGAAAGGAGCCUGUUUGUCCUUCUCUGCAGUUCAGUCUAAUGGGGCAAAAGCUUUAUGUUAGCCAAGAACAGGUAUCAGUAGGCCGUAAACCUGUAACAGGCUUGAGAUUGUUCUUAGAAGGAGGCAAGCAGAACCGGCUAAGUAUUCAGCUUCAGCACUUUGCAUCGCUUCCAAAGAUCCUUCAACCAUACUGGGACACUCAUGUGGCAAUUGGUGCACCCAAGUGGUUGGGACCUGAGGAGCAAGAUAGCCGAUGGUUUGAACCAGUGAAGUGGAAGAACUUCUCACACGUUAGCACCGCUCCCAUAGAGAGUAAUGAGAGCUUUACUAGUGACAUCUCUGGUGUGUUCAUAGUCACCGGUGCUCAGCUUGGAGUGUGGGAUUUUGGGACUAGGAAUGUCCUGCAUAUGAAGCUUUUGUAUUCUAGAAUACCUGGUUGCACCAUCAGGAGAUCAUUCUGGGACCAUACCCCAACUAUUCUAAAUGACAAGUCAAAGAAGCCAGUUGCCGAAAGUACAACCAACUCUGUUGACUUGAGCUCCAGUUCAAGGUUAGCAGGAAACAAGUUGGCAAAAUAUGUCGAUACGUCUGAGAUGAGUAAGGGACCCCAGGAUUCCCCAGGUCAUUGGUUGGUUACUGGUGGAAAGCUUGGAGUUGAAAAGGGGAAGAUUGUUUUGAGGCUGAAAUACUCGCUGCUGAAUUACUGAGUUAUCGAGAUCUUAUGUAGUAUGCAUGGCCUAGAUGGAGGAUUGUGUUCCAUGGAUAUGGUUUUUGUAUGUAUAUUGUCCCAGCUUCAUGGGGUGAAUUGAAUGAAUCGAUAUCUGAUCUUUGGUCAGUCUUCUUGGUCUAUUUCAUCUGAUGAACCAUUAAUAUCAGGUCAAGGCUUUGCAAUGGCUUGGGACAGGUGCCUUGCAGAACUUUUGGAAGGCUUGGUAGGGUGAAGGUGAACAGCUAUGAUCUUCAGUCUAAUUCUACUCUCCUUUGUAGAUAUGUUGGAGGAUCCAGAGUGGCUAACUGGGGAUAAUAUGUGAAGGAUGAUACUCAAGACUCGAGUGGGUCUUGUUAGUGCCUUGUAUUGAAGUUGUUCCCAUCUAGACUUGUCACUGAUCUAAGGUUGCACCGAAUUUAAAAUCAAAUGCAGAGUUGCUCUGUUGAAUUAACUUGGGACAAGACUUUAGAGGGCUUUGCGAGGUGCUUUGCCAUGUUAAGGACCUGACCUGAUGGAAUUUUUGGAUCGCCGGUGUUUCCCAUUGCUCAGUUUAGUGUAAUGCAGCUCAAUUUUAAGUUGACUCUUCAGAUCAUGCUCAAGGUUGCUUAUUCUGUUAAAAUUUCCAGAAAACAUUGGUAGUAGCCUGGUGCUAGUCCUGUUUUUGCGACGACAACAUGCAGUUUAUGUUGGCAGCCCUAGCUUCUUAUCUAAUUGAGGGACUUUAUAAAUGCAAUAGUGUUGGGGAAUAUAGAAUAGAGACAUUUCUGGAUGCGUUUGUUUCCUUGUCCAAUUCGUGUGUGGGAGGGCAUAUGUGCUCUGUGGGUUUGGCCUGGGGGCUUAUGAAUUUAAGCUUGAAUGAGUGCUGUGGCUUUUUUGCA